rnacentral:rRNA from 1 species
UCUAAGUGCAGUGAAGUCAGACCGGAAGGACUGGUGGAGCGCUUAGAAGUGAGAAUGCCGGUAUGAGUAGCGAAAGACGGGUGAGAAUCCCGUCCACCGAAUGCCUAAGGUUUCCUGAGGAAGGCUCGUCCGCUCAGGGUUAGUCAGGACCUAAGCCGAGGCCGACAGGCGUAGGCGAUGGACAACAGGUUGAUAUUCCUGUACCACCUCUUUAUCGUUUGAGCAAUGGAGGGACGCAGAAGGAUAGAAGAAGCGUGCGAUUGGUUGUGCACGUCCAAGCAGUUAGGCUGAUAAGUAGGCAAAUCCGCUUAUCGUGAAGGCUGAGCUGUGAUGGGGAAGCUCCUUAUGGAGCGAAGUCUUUGAUUCCCCGCUGCCAAGAAAAGCUUCUAGCGAGAUAAAAGGUGCCUGUACCGCAAACCGACACAGGUAGGCGAGGAGAGAAUCCUAAGGUGUGCGAGAGAACUCUGGUUAAGGAACUCGGCAAAAUGACCCCGUAACUUCGGGAGAAGGGGUGCUUUCUUAACGGAAAGCCGC